CUCUAAUAAUCUGCCUAACCGCCUGGGGCCUGGGCUGUAACCGCCUAACCCAAAACAGCAUCAACCUCCACAUGCUCAGAACAAAUUAAAUGAUUUUGAAAAUGAAGAUACAAGAAGGCAAGAUGAGGCAGCUUUAGAUGGAUACCGACCACUGUCAUCUCAUCCAGUUGAUGAUCAAGAUGCUUGUAGUGAAUCCUCAGAUAGCAGCAGUGAUGAUUCUGAGGUAGACAAUGACAACCAGCACCACAGAAUAUUCAUGACAAUACAGUGGCCUGAAGAGAACUCUGAGGAGCAGGCUUCAGAUGACAACCCUGAACCAAGCUCAGAGCACACAUCUUGUUCAGCUGCGGUGAAGCUGGACCCCUCGCAGGACACCCAAGCUCGCACAGCUGCAGCAGGAGGUCCCAAAGAGAUCACCGCUACUGCCGAUCACAAGCGCCUUUCCGCUAGAAAGGAGUGCAAUGCCACCGAUCUGAAGGACCGUUCCGGGGAUCGGGAGAGCUCCUCUGGGACGGGGCACAUGUCUGAGGACCAGACGGAGGCGGUGCGGCGGGCGAUGCAGGCGGUUCGGCUGCCGGAGGACGCCAUGCCGGAGUGGGCGCGUGGCCUCUCCGAUCUCCAGUGUCAGCAGCGUAUCGGACAGAUGGUGGCGAAAAUAACGGGCCAGAGGUAGCGGCGGCGUCUGUGAUCACGUUGAACUUUCUGUGCGAUGCGCGUACAUUCUUCCUUAUUCAUUCCCAGACGCAGUACUGGCUCUUUCGUCGCCAGCGUGUGAACAAAUGUGAAACCAACGGAAUGGUGAGAACGGCGAUGUCUCUUUCAAGAAAUGUAACCGAAUGCUUUUUACGUCAAUGGAAUGGCUUAUUUUAUGUAUUCGUGUCAUACCAUGUGUAAGGUGUGGUCAAGCGUCGAUGUAACGCCCCCCCCCCCCCAUGCGAGUCCGCCUUGGAUGCGCUGUGACCGCCCUUGCGUGUAUCCCAUCGCAUCAGUGACGUAAAGAACAUUUAUUUUAUUUGAGUAAAGUUUAUUAUACACAACUAUGAAAUAAACUAUCACAGAACAGAAGAGAGUGGAAGGAUAUCCGCACUCCCGGAAAACUCUGGAGCUCUCCACGAUUCACUCUGGCCGCACGUGCACCAUUGAAAAAAUAAACAACCGGGGAAUUA
rnacentral:misc_RNA from 1 species